rnacentral:lncRNA from 1 species
UGAUUCCGUACUCGCCAGGUUUCCAUAGAUAACCAGCUGCCAAGCAAGCCGAAUUAAGAACGUGUCAUGGAUUGUGCCAAUGAAGUUGAUGAUUGUGCGGGUGGUGUCAUCCCAAACCAAGCUUUGUGCCUCCAGAUGCUUCUGGUGAAGCUACAGCCAAACUAGGUGGUUGCGUGAUUCAGGGGUGGUUGUGGAACAAGAUACAUACAUGGACAAUUUUUAUGAAAUGAAUGGUUAAAUAAUGGUUGGGAACAUGUGCUCAAAGCUGUCGAGUGUGACAAGGACCAAAGACAAUUAUGUGGAGAUUGUUUGGUUCAUGAGGUGAG